UACGUAGGGUGCAAGCGUUAAUCGGAAUUACUGGGCGUAAAGCGUGCGUAGUCGGUUAUUUAAGUCGGGUGUGAAAGCCCCGGGCUCAACCUGGGAAUUGCAUUCGAUACUGGAUAGCUAGAGUUCGGCAGAGGGAAGCGGAAUUUCCGGUGUAGCGGUGAAAUGCGUAGAUAUCGGAAGGAACAUCAGUGGCGAAAGCGGCUUCCUGGACCAGAACUGACGAUCAGGCACGAAAGCGUGGGGAGCAAACAGG
rnacentral:rRNA from 1 species